CCCUCCUUGCUCAGGGUUGGGGAGAGGGGGAUUUGAAGGGGUCUACGUUAAUGGUUUAUUGUACACUGGUGAAUUAGCUCACAAGAAGUUCACUCAUUCAGAAUCAUUCUGACUCAGGUUGGAUUGAGUUCUGCUCAACAGAAGAAUCCAGAUUUUUAGUGACCAGGAUUCUAAACAGGAGCAGGCAUUUUGUACAGGUCAAAAACCUGGCCCUGGGGUUUUCUGCAAGGAAGCCUCAGCUUAUGCUCACCCCAGGAUACUUACAAGGAGGGAUAACCAGAAUAAUUACUUUUUUAGGUUUUCAGGAGGGUUGGCUGAGGUGAACCAUGCACAGCACCUGGCACAGCACACGCCAGGUGAGUGAGCACCCCAGGGCUAGUGCUGGAUCACAGAAGUUCUCACUGAGGAGCCCCUGAAAGGCAAGGGUCAAAGGCCCACCCAGAACUGCGGGUACUACCAGGAAAGAGGGUGUGGGCAGAGCUUCUGGGGUACUGGGAGCCUUGGCCUCACAACCCAGGUCUCAGACGAGCAGGCUCUGAGGUGGCAGCUUGUGUCCAGGCCCUGUGGUUGCCCCCUCAGCUACCCCUGGAGGACAUGCCAGGCUUGAGCCACACAGGGCUACCUCUGCACUUUGGACACUCUUGGGGUCCAGCCCCAACCUUGGGCCUGCAGGUACACAACAAAAUUGCUCUAUGACUGGCUCUAGUCUCUUCUCACGCAGGUCACUGUGGGGAGAGUUAGGACUCGCAGUGACGGCAAAGUGAAAGAGAAACUGACGCUUGAAUCCAGGCCCUGACAGAAGGGAGGAGGCCUACCCUAGUGCCAGCCCUCACCUGGGGGCCAGUUCUUCUCUCUGGAGAAGCACUUUCCUCCUGGCUGAAGGCUGGGUGGCGUGAGGCCUGGCCAUCUUGGAUGUGCCUCUCAUUCCCCAGGUCAUCCUGGAAAGGGCCCUCAGAUGACAUCUUAAGAAGGAUGGCAUCCGCUCCCCAUCAGGGGCCCUGGGAGGACAGCGCUGACCUCCACCACCAUUCAAAGACCACCGCUUCUGCCUUCAGCCUCUGAUCCUCAGCAGCUCCUUGCUCAUCCUCUCACCACUCCCCGCCCAGCACAUGGCUCUGGUGAAGACUCAAGUGAGAAGCAGAACAGGAAGGGAGACUGGCUCCCUGUCCUAGGGGACCCCAGCCCCUGACAGCCGGGAGAUAAG
rnacentral:lncRNA from 12 species